GCGGCCCACGAGCGAAGUUGGUUCGGAGCGCGAAGACUUCAGCCUCUCUCUUCGAACAGAACGGUGCGCGUGGUUCCUCGAGCUAGUUCGGUCGCACGCGAGGAGUUUGCGCGUCGUACGAAAGCGCGAAUUGUGAGCGAUUGUGUAGAGUUUGUGAUUUCGGAAGAGGGGAGAGAUCUUUGUUCGGAUUUGUUUUGUUUUUUUGGUGGACGUGCUGCGGGAAAGGAGGCAAGGAAGACAUUCGUUGCCGUGGGAAAAUCGUUGCGGAGAGUAGGGGUGAGGACUACGAGCCACAAACUUUCCGUUCUUCGGAGAUGAGAGCACCCGUCGUGUCUGUGGUGCUGGUGACCGUGGCUGCUCUACUCAUCGUCUUUGCUCAAGGGGCCCGAAGCAUCCGGUUUGAGAGGGUCGACGUACCCGGCGCCGUGAUCAGCGGAGAGCCCGUCCUUCUGCUGUGCGAGUACAACCUCGAAGGGGCCGAGCUCUACUCUGUCAAGUGGUACAAGAACAACGUGGAGUUCUACCGGUACCUCCCCAGCGAUGCCCCGCCCGGGCAGAAGUACGACCUGGUCGGUCUCUACGUGAACCUGUCCAAAUCGAACCACAACCGGGUGUUCCUAGACCGGACGGAUUUGAACAGCGAGGGCAGCUACGGCUGCGAGGUGUCCACAGAGGGGCCGGAGUUUCGCACCAUUAUCUUCGAGAAGGACCUCAACAUUUACGUGCUGCCCGAGAGAGGUCCGGUGAUCGAAGGCGUUCACGCUCGUUACCAGUUGGGCGACAUCCUCAACGCCACCUGCAGGUCGAGGCCUUCGAAGCCCGCGCCUUUCCUGGACUGGUUCAUCAACGGAAAACCCGCGCCCCCUCACCAGGUGUCCCGACAGGGGCCGUACCGGCGGGCCAACGCGCUGCAGGCGUCGGUGUCCACGCUGCGCUUCCAGAUCACGGCCCGCCACCUGGCCCAGGGCUCCCUGAGGCUCCAGUGCGCCUCGUCCAUCAACAAGAACCACUCGCGGAGCAGCCAGGAGCUGCUCAUCGGCACCCAGAGGCAUCCAACCACCGAGAAGAGCUACGAAGAGGAGAACGCCCCGAGCGUGAGCGGAAUGAAGUCGUACUACUCGGUCGGCGAGCCCGUGGACCUCAACUGCAGUGCCGUCAUGACCACGGACGAGAUCGAACUCGAGUGGUUCAUCAACGAUGACGAGCAGGUUCCGGCGAGCUACGAGACCCGGUACCCGGUGAGCCGGCGCGCCUCGGACGGGCUCCGGGAGAUCGUGGUCCGGCUCCGGUUCGUGGUGCAGCCCAAGCACUACCACAACGACGAGCUCCGGCUCCGGUGCACCGCCACCUUCUCCAAGCUGCUCACGCUCAGCUCCGAGGAAACGGUCCUGGUCGCCUCCCAGCAGACCUCCGGCUUCCACAUAGCCUACAACAGGGGGCCGUCCGGAAGGAGAACGUGCAGGGGGGCCUCUCUCUUCUGGACUGCCGUGGAAGCGGCGUUUGUUUUCCUUCUGUUGCGUUAGUGUGUGCCAGUGUCAUCGUUUCCUCGUGCGCCUCGCGUGUGGUGAUGUCUGUCGAGCGCACCAAUCGGCACUCCUUGUGCGCUUCUUGGAUGGUGACGUCAGUCGAGUGCCGCCAAUCGGCAAUCCUGGUGCACCAUGGGGAUGGUGACGUCGGUCGGGCGCCGCCAAUCCCCGGCUCUCGUGAGUCCCGCGAAUGGUGACGUGAGUAGAGCGCGGCCAAUCAGCAAUCCUCGUGCUCCACGCGGAUGGUGGCGUCUGUCGGGCGCCGCCAAUCAGCAGUCAUGGUGUCCCUCACGGAUGGUGACUUCAAUCGAGCGUCGUCAAUCACCAGUCCUCGUGCACCUCGCAGAUUGUGACGUCUGACGGGUGCCGCCAAUGAGCAGUCGCUUCCCUGCACGGCCUGUUUAACGUACAGAAAGGGAGAAGAGAAGACACUAGUACAGCGUGCCACUGAGGAUGCUGUCCAAACUGCCUUCGCUAUAGCUCGGUCGACCUUUGGACUGACUGUUCAGUGCUGUUGCCAACGUCUUUGCCAGAACCAAGUGUGGCUUUGUGUCGAGAUAAUCUGGCCAUAAUUUCUAAAGCUAGGGUCACACGGCUUAUACAUCACACAAAAGACAGUUCGCAUACAGAUUCGAAUGCGGGUCACCGCGAGAUCUGUGCUUUGAAUGCCGCAUGGCAGAGUUCUAUAGGGAAACGUGGCACGGAGGCGUUUGAACCACAAAUAUUGCGGUGACUCGUGUUUCAAGACUGUCUUUUGUAUAAUAUAUGAUUAGUGUGACGCCGGCUUAAGGACUAGGAAAUAUAACCACGCGACCAUUUCAUAUGGUCCUGAAGAAAUCGUGAGUAGAUAAGCUGAAAAAAAAACUUCUUGGAAAAAAAAUGAAGAUCUCCCAGCGAUAAGGGUCUUUAUGAGGCCACCAUCAAUUCAAGAAUCAGGCAUCUUCAAAUGACAAACCGUCGGCAUUUAAGAAAGCAAGUUUUUCACAGUCAAAGAUCUUCCUUCGUGCCACCGUACCCUGUAACUCUCUAGCUCCGUGAAAGGUGGAUUACGCGUCCUCCGGCUCUUGGGCGCCAUAGAGCGGACGAAAACAGAUAUUUUGAUCAAGUCAUCGAGCACGCGUGCUUCGUAGCAAGGCCAUGUAAGGACUACCAACGGUAGACGGACAUCGACAAAGAUAUCAAGGGGAAUAAUAAAAAGUGCCUCGACUAUGCAA
rnacentral:misc_RNA from 1 species